rnacentral:rRNA from 1 species
CCUCGGGACGCACCAGUGGGGAAUAUUGCACAAUGGGCGCAAGCCUGAUGCAGCCAUGCCGCGUGUGUGUAGAAGGCCUUCGGGUUGUAAAGCACUUUCAGCGGGGAGGAAGGCGGUGAGGUUAAUAACCUCAUCGAUUGACGUUACCCGCAGAAGAAGCACCGGCUAACUCCGUGCCAGCAGCCGCGGUAAUACGGAGGGUGCAAGCGUUAAUCGGAAUUACUGGGCGUAAAGCGCACGCAGGCGGUCUGUCAAGUCGGAUGUGAAAUCCCCGGGCUCAACCUGGGAACUGCAUUCGAAACUGGCAGGCUAGAGUCUUGUAGAGGGGGGUAGAAUUCCAGGUGUAGCGGUGAAAUGCGUAGAGAUCUGGAGGAAUACCGGUGGCGAAGGCGGCCCCCUGGACAAAGACUGACGCUCAGGUGCGAAAGCGUGGGGAGCAAACAGGAUUAGAUACCCCUGUAGUC